rnacentral:lncRNA from 1 species
CCCCCAUCCCAGAGAGGGAGGGGGGAGGGUGAGCGAACGGCUGUGUGGUGUUUAGCUGCCAGCCGGGUUAAACCACAACAGGUGGCGGUAGAGGAACACGUGGGGGAAGGUCAGGUGGUGGAGGAGCAGGUGGAGGAUGAUCUGGGGGAAGAGGAGGAGGAAGAGGAGGAAAAGGAGGAGGACGACGACGACAAUGAUGAUGAUGACGACAACAACAAGAAGGAGGACGAGGAGUUGGAAAAGGUCGUGGAGCAGGAGAAGGAGGAGGCGGCAGCAGUGGUGGUGGUGGAGGAGGAGGCGGCAGUGGUGGCGGUGGAGGAGCGCACGGGGGAAGAGCAGAAAUGAGCAAAGAUAAACAUUUUCAACAUUAUUAAGAAAAAGUCGGAACCCUCUUAGAAACAUAAUUUUAAAACCUGCUUCCCAUUGCCCGUGGCGUACUGAGAUGGACAACAUUCAACAGUGGCAGAUAAAUCAAACCGUGUUUGAAAGGUUCAUAUUUUACUUAAAAUUCCAUCCCAGAUCUGGUAGCAGCUACAGGGGAGCUGAAAAGCAGCUUCAUAUUUUAUAGUGAAAUUAGUGAAUUUAGUGAAAGUAAAAUCUGGCUAGAAAAGAGAGAGAUUUAUUUCCUUACAGCUGUGUUUUGGAAUAGCUGCAUGUGCCUGUUCCUUUACACAGAUCUUCAUGCCUUUCUCAGUGAGCCUCCCUGCAGGCAUAUGGAUCCAACUGCACUGAUUAGUUUGCAGAACUGGGGGUUAGAAAUUACAAAGCCACAUGCUUUAUAAUUGCAAACUCACUAAGUUAUCCCAGUCUUGUUCAAUGAUCUUCUCCUUCCCAGCAGGGCCCGUCUGUUUCCAUUUCACUAACUCCAUGUUUUAAUGAGAUCCAAUUUCACUUCUGGAUUUCAAGAGAUUUUAUUCUAUAUCUACAUAGUGAAAGAAAAAAAAAUGUUUUAUAUUAAAAGAAAAUAAGUCAUAAACAUGUAGAAAACUAAAGGGCCCUUUCAUAUAUUUCUAUUUGACAUUUUAUCAUUGCAUUGUUGAUAGCUGUAUGUUAUCAUCAUUACAUGCUAAGAGUUGUUAAAAGACAUUUCUCUUUAGAAAGAGAAAGAACAUGACAGAGAUGGACAUUCAGGUCUAAAUAGUGUUAGAAUUACUGCAAGCUGAUAAGCCAGCCCUUUGGAAACUUGAUCUUCAGGUAAAAUGUCGUCAUUCAGCUAAUGCUACUAAAUUAAAACCAGUCUGUGGACAGGCAGUGAAAAAAUCUGCUGUUAAAGGAGAAUAUACCAUUUGACAUAAAUAUAACACAUCUGGUUCUCACAUUAGCAGCUCUGUUCAUUAGUCCAUCCACAGAUCUGA